CGUACCGCGUAUGUAUACCGUAACAUGGUUACCAUGUAACGCACUAGGGACAACAAAUACAGUCUUGUCACUCUUAUGGCACUUAGAUAUGCAGACUUUUUCACACAACGUAUAAUUAGUACACGCCAAAUUGCAGCACACAUUACAGUUCGUCCCAUUACAGCAGUCGCCCUUCGGACAGAUUCCGCAGUUAAACCCCUUGCAUGUCAUAAGACAGUUAUGAUCAGUGCAAGUGCUGCAACCUUGAUCGGUACACCAGUGCAUUUCCUCUCUCUUUUGAAGGCAGCGAUUAUCACUCUUUGAGCAAUUUGAUGGGAUUUCCAUGCAUUGGACACUAUGAAGAGCGACGCACGUGGUAAUGGAAUCCAUUGCCAAGCCACUAUCAGUUGAUGAAGGGAACGCUGUUGAAGCGUCGACAUGGGCGUACGCAGGGAGGGGCAAGGGGGGCAGCUGCCCCCCUCUGGCCUGGCCACAGCACAGGUUACGUUUUAUGUUUGUUAAAAAAUAUCUGUAAGAAUUGUCUUUGUUGGCUUCUAAUUCAAAACCUUUUCCUUUGAGAUUUAAGCAAUGAAAAAGGCUAUUAGGGUACCGAUCCCGAAAAUCGCUGUUCCCGUGCCCAUCGGAUUAUUCGGCACACCGGCACCUGCAUAGCUAGGUGCCAGCCCGGCUCGCCUGCCGUCGGGCUGAGCGAAGUUAUCGUUCACUAAUCGCGCGUUAACACAAACCACUGUGCAGUGGUCCGCCAGUGAUGUUCCGUCUACCGGUUUGCCUAAAAUUCUACCGAUAUACCGAAAAGGCCUUUAUAUCUACCUAUCUAUUUUCGCCCCGUAUUUUUUUUGCAUAUUUUAUACACAAUUAAUUGAUAUAA